GUGUCAUGAGAUUUGAAUCUAAGAUCAGUGAUAUGUCAAUUAAGGUCAUUUACCACUGAACUAGACCCCAUUGGCAACUCAAAUGUUUAUCAACAUGCACAACCUUAUAUCUAUUGAUUGUUAAUAAGGGAAAAUAAAAAGGGAGAUUCACUAUUAUAUCCAAUAUAGGAGUCCAAAUUAUAAAAAUACCUUAUAUGAAAUAGACUUUAGAAACACACCCAAAACUCAUUUACAACAUUACAAAAAAGCUUUUAACUUCUUAUAAAUUACAAAACUACCAUCAAUUUCUUAAAACAAGCCCAACACCAAAAUCUCAUAAAAGUACCCAAAACACUCAAUAGGGCAUCAAAGUAAUUUAAUAUUCAAUAUUAAAUUCAAUAAGGCCAGUUGUCAUUUUUUUGGGUUUUUUUUUUGUUUGUUUGUUUAUAGAAAUUCAAUGGUGUAUAGUUUAUUUAUAAUAUUAGUGUUAAGAAUGGGUAUAUCACUAAAUAUCUCUAAUAAAAAUUGGGAGACUUUGGAAAAGCCCAAAGGAGAGAGAAAAAUUUUAAAAGAAGCCAAAAUGGACAAAAUUGCCCUUAUUUAUUUUUUGAUUUCCUAAGGAAUCCUUUACAUUUGCAUGUCUUUGGUUUGAAAGUUGAGAGGUUUUUCUGUCUUUUUUGAAAAAGCUUUGGCUUUUUCCAAAAGUGAAAGUUUUUUUAUGGGUAAAACCUAAAUUUACUUAAAAAUUUGUGUUGGAUGGUCAUAAUAUGUUACUAUCUUUUUAGUUUCAAUACACCCCUUGUAUUAUAAAUGGUUAGAAUGUACAAUAAGGUGGCAUGAUGAUCCGACAAAAUAAUAAUAAAAUCGAUAUGAAAAAAAAAAAUUCAUGAAAUUAGUAGUACAAGACCUUAAUAAUAUAUAUAUAUAUAUAUUAUGUAUGAGGCAUGCACUUCGAUUAUAAAUAUAAAUGCACGAGGUUUAUGGGAAACUCUAUUUAUAUUCAUUAAGAAACCAAAAAAAAAAAAAAAAAAAACACCCAUCCCUUUCACAACUAAUGAGAAUAGUAGAACAAUAAACUUGCUAACCAAGAAAGGGAUAUUAGUGGACGCGUGGCUUUUUUUGAAAAAAAACUUUAGAAAAGGGAUAUGAAUUUGGACUUUAC
rnacentral:lncRNA from 1 species